CCUCCCAGAGGCCGUUUGUCCAAGUCACGUGAUCGUCGAAUCUGUUGACCUGGCGCCACCGGAAAAAGAAAUUCCCGGGCCCUGGCUUCUUGGCCUGAUGGUGAGGCACCAGAGGCACUGCUAGCCUUGAAGCCUCCAGCCUGCUGGAUGCCUCCAUCCCCGGCUAUGCUGUGGCUCUCCUCAUUCUAGGCCUCCUGCUCGUCACAUUCACCCUUGUCCUGGUGCUAAAGUGGAGGGCCUCCCAUGGGGUGUUCAGCCUGGGUGUGUAGAAGCACACAGUGUGGUACAGAGGACCCUCUCCAGACAGGUAAGUGGAGGGCGGUUCUCCCUGACCCCACCCCAAUUGUUUGUUCUGGGUGGGGUCCACCGCGCCCCCUGCCAAGGCCUUCUGCAAACACUCCCCAGGGGCUGUUGUGGGCAGCACCUGGGUGGUGCAGUUGGUGUGCCAGAAAAGCUCCCCAGUACUGGGCAGUGGCCCAGGCAGUCAAGCAGACUCCCUCAAGCAGGCCCCACCUACCCCUCGCCUGUUCCCAGCUGCCUCCCACCAACCCUAGAAAUGAUGCUGGGAGCUGACAGAAACUGAACUUAGGAGCACAGGAGGCCAGGAGACCUGGGACAGAGAACAGGAGGUGACCCCUCAUGCUGCUGCUCCCUCUGCUGAAACCCAAACUGCAAACCUCUCCUCUCCCUGCCUUCACCUUGCCCCACGGCUUCCACAGACAGUGCCUCAACCCCGAGGAAUGAAUCCGAAGUUCCAACACCACUGACUUUCCCAGGAACUCAGAGCCAGAGAGGGCCAAGGACCAGCUCGAGGACACACAGCCAGGGCUUCUUCCCUCCGAAACCCCCAAGGACUGGACUUGCAGGGCUGGGACAGAGGUGGGGUGGGGGAAAGCAAUGCCUUGUCAACCCACGUGGGGAGCCCCACUCCCAUCCCCAAGGUGCAUAAAGUUGAGGAACACCCCUGCUCCCACGUCCAUGCUCAUUCAGGGCCCUGCUCCAAG
rnacentral:lncRNA from 1 species